rnacentral:rRNA from 1 species
AUUGAACGCUGGCGGCAUGCCUUACACAUGCAAGUCGGACGGUAACGCGGGGCAACCUGGCGACGAGUGGCGAACGGGUGAGUAAAGCAUCGGAACGUGCCCAGUAGUGGGGGAUAGCCCGGCGAAAGCCGGAUUAAUGCCGCAUACGACCUAUGGGUGAAAGGGGGGGAUCGCAAGACCUCUCGCUAUUGGAGCGGCCGAUGUCAGAUUAGGUAGUUGGUGGGGUAAAGGCCUACCAAGCCGACGAUCUGUAGCUGGUCUGAGAGGACGACCAGCCACACUGGGACUGAGACACGGCCCAGACUCCUACGGGAGGCAGCAGUGGGGAAUUUUGGACAAUGGGCGCAAGCCUGAUCCAGCCAUGCCGCGUGCGGGAAGAAGGCCUUCGGGUUGUAAACCGCUUUUGUCAGGGAAGAAAUCCUUUGGGUUAAUACCUCGGGGGGAUGACGGUACCUGAAGAAUAAGCACCGGCUAACUACGUGCCAGCCGCCGCAGUAAGAC